ensembl:lncRNA
AUCAGGUGCUCCUUGUCGACGGGGAUGUGCAGCGAGGCGGGCAGCCUGCUGACACUCAGAAGGUACUGGGACAGCGCCCGGCACAGAGAGAGCACCCUGGGGAAGAACCCUGGCUCACCUGGAGCCACAGGAGAGGGUGGUGAGGGACAGGUAGACAGAGAGGAGGAGGGGGUUAAGAACAGGUAGACAGAGAGGAGAGGGUGGUUAAGAACAGGUAGACAGAGAGGAGAGGGUGGUGAAGAACAGGUAGACAGAGAGGAGGGGGUGGUUAAGAACAGGUAGACAGAGAGGAGGGGGUGGUUAAGAACAGGUAGACAGAGGAGAG